rnacentral:lncRNA from 1 species
AUGCCAGGCUGUGACAGGCUGUAAAGAGAGGAAGCAUGCGAGUCCCCUCAUCCGUCCAUCCCUAAAGCAACCUUUGACUCCACAUGCUUCAAUAGUGCUCAUUUCGAGUCUUGGAAACCCUUGUAGCUCUCUUAUAAAUAUGUAACCUCACUCAUUAAUAAGAUUAAGCAGUUUGAGUCUCUCUAAUCUCUUAGACACUAUGGUUCUCUCUUAGACUCUAAACGGUUCUAUCUAUUCUCUUAAUCUUUCACAAACUU